rnacentral:rRNA from 1 species
AUGAACCGGAUGAUCCUCCAGCUCCACCAUAUUCAAGUGGAAGUGAACCCGUUUAUUUAUUUUGAUAAGAAAUAUCUUUGCCAUAUAAUUUGUGUUAUCGGGUGUGUUAUUUUAUAUAUAUUAUUGCUUGGUGUCCAUCCUUGUAUAUAUGAUGUGCACGUGGACACCGGGACAUUUUUGUUCUGGAUCCGCCCCUGCUCGCGUGGCUGCCCUGGUGGUUGGCGGCGUCAGAUCUGGCUGCUGGCCAUCUUCCCCUGCUCGGUGCAUUUCACCCUCGACGGUCCCUGGCUGUGCAGGCGUCUGGCCUGCCUCUGGGUUGCGGGUGAUUCUGGUGGUCGGGAUCCAGAUUGGGGGAAACCCCUGGUCGGCUCCAGCCGGCCGCGACGACGACGACGUCCGCGGGCGCCGAUUUCUUCAUGGAGAUGUCGGUCGAGGUCUGCCCUUCCACAUCCCACCACCUUGCUUCUCGGGUGA